rnacentral:rRNA from 1 species
UACGUAGGGGGCGAGCGUUGUCCGGAUUUACUGGGCGUAAAGGGCGCGUAGGCGGCUUGGCAAGUGGAAGGUGAAAUCCCUCGGCUUAACCGAGGAACUGCCCUCCAAACUGCUUAGUUUGAGACCGGGAGAGGUGAGUGGAAUUCCCAGUGUAGCGGUGAAAUGCGUAGAUAUUGGGAGGAACACCAGUGGCGAAGGCGGCUCACUGGACCGGUACUGACGCUGAGGUGCGAAAGCGUGGGGAGCAAACAGG